AUUGAACGCUGGCGGCAUGCCUUACACAUGCAAGUCGAACGGCAGCACGGGUGCUUGCCCCUGGUGGCGAGUGGCGAACGGGUGAGUAAUACAUCGGAACAUGUCCUGUAGUGGGGGAUAGCCCGGCGAAAGCCGGAGUAAUACCGCAUACGAUCUACGGAUGAAAGCGGGGGACCUUCGGGGCUCGCGCCAUGGGGUUUGCCGAUGGCUGAUUAGCUAGUUGGUGGGGUAAAGGCCUACCAAGGCGACGAUCAGUAGCUGGUCUGAGAGGACGACCAGCCACACUGGGACUGAGACACGGCCCAGACUCCUACGGGAGGCAGCAGUGGGGAAUUUUGGACCAUGGGCGAAAGCCUGAUCCAGCAAUGCCGCGUGUGUGAAGAAGGCCUUCGGGUUGUAAAGCACUUUUGUCCGGAAAGAAAUCCUUGGCCCUAAUACGGUCGGGGGAUGACGGUACCGGAAGAAUAAGCACCGGCUAACUACGUG
rnacentral:rRNA from 1 species